AUUGAACGCUGGCGGCAGGCCUAACACAUGCAAGUCGAGCGGAUGAAGGGAGCUUGCUCCUGGAUUCAGCGGCGGACGGGUGUGUAAUGCCUAGGAAUCUGCCUGGUAGUGGGGGAUAACGUCCGUAAACGGGCGCUAAUACCGCAUACGUCCUGAGGGUGAAAGUGGGGGAUCUUCGGACCUCACGCUAUCUGAUGAGCCUAGGUCGGAUUAGCUAGUUGGUGGGGUAAAGGCCUACCAAGGCGACGAUCCGUAACUGGUCUGAGAGGAUGAUCAGUCACACUGGAACUGAGACACGGUCCAGACCCCUACGGGAGGCAGCAGGGGGGAAUAUUGGAAAAUGGGCGAAAGCAUGAUCCAGCCAUGCCGCGUGAGUGAAGAAGGUCUUCGGAUUGUAAAGCACUUUAAGUUGGGAGGAAGGGAAGUAAGUUAAUACCUUGCUGUAUUGACGUUAACAAAAGAAUAAGCACCGGCUAACUACGUG
rnacentral:rRNA from 1 species